UUGUAAUUGUUAUUCUUAUUGUGUUACUUUUUAUUGUUACUUUUUAUUUUAGUCUGCUUGGUAAAUAUUUUCUUAACUCUUCUUGAACUGCACUGUUGGUUAAGGGCUUGUAAGUAAGCAUUUCACGGUAAAGUCUACACUUGUUGUAUUUGGGGCAUGUGACAAAGUUUGAUUUGAUUUGAAAUGUGAGCAGCAUUUUGUAUUUCUAGUUGAAUUAGUUAGGGAGCGUAAACAAAGUACACACUUUUUUUGCAUUCGAAUUUCAAUAGCUCCUUGAUCAUGUGACCUACUGACUUCAAACAAGGUUCAGAAUGUACACUCAGUGGGCCUUCACAUUGCACACCCUUUAAUUUGUCAAUUUUCAUCUCACGCAAUUUUACAUAAAUGUUCAAUGUUUCUCAUUUCAAUAGCUCCUUUGUAAUGUGACCUACUGACCUCAAACUACUUUCAGAAUGCCCACGGACUUGCGGAGACGGGCGCCGCGAGGCUUCCAGUGCGGUAACGCGACCGAUCCUUGAGAAGCUGGCGGGAGCCCCGGGGAGAGUUCUCUUUUCUUUGUGAAGGGCAGGGCGCCCUGGAAUGGGUUCGCCCUGAGAGAGGGGCCCAAGCCCUGGAAAGCGUUGCAGUUUCGGCGGUGUCCAGUGAGCUCUCCCUGGCCCUUGAAAAUCCGGGGGAGAGGGUGUAAAUCUCACGCCGGGCUGUACCCAUAUCCACAGCAGGUCUCCAAGGUGAACAGCCUCUGUCAUGUUAUAGCAAUGUAGGUAAGGGGAGUUGGCAAAAAAAGAUCCCUAACUUCGGGAUAAGGAUUGGCUCUAAGAGCUGGGUCGGUCGGACUGGGGUGCGAAGCGGGGCUGGGCUCGAGCCGCUGCUGGGGGAGCAGUCGCUCCGUCGCCCUCCUCUCGCCACCAUUGGAAGUUAAUUGUGUGGCCCAUCUCACGGUCUUGCAAGGGGCUGCGUGCGAGGGUUUGUUGGGGUGGUGUCCAUCGGUGGGCCGAAGGCGGACCAGUGGGGGGUUGGGUCCGGCAGUUGGCGGCGGAAACUCUGGACGCACGCCGGGCCCUUCUCGCGGAUCUCCUCAGCUACAGCGCUCGCCGGCCCCACACAUUGUAGGUGGGGAGGUCUCCUCUACACUCACUAGACUUGAGGCAGAGACUUAACCUAUUGGCCCCGCAGUGAUAGGGCAUUGCAUGGAUCUGGUUCAUGCCCUACAAAGUGGGGAGAGAUAUCUCCAGCUUGUCUGGGUAGGGAGGCCUACAUCUGAUGUGGGUAGUACCAUCCACGCCCAUUGAUUUGCCGCGGAACCAUAAAACGGACGGAAGAAGCCUAGGUUUCUACUGGGCACGGAUCACUGAAUUUCAACUUGAUGAAAUUCAAAGGAGCAUACCCACUUGUCGCCAUCGCACUCAAAUCACCCCCUCAUUUCAAAGUGAGGAAUAUCGAUGAAGCGCUGGUAAAGGUGGUUUCUAUGGCUCUGUCCCGGAGGGCUGUCUGGGCAAGCAAAUGAUUGAAAGACGAUUAUUCUUUUCUGCUGCUGUUGCUUCUUCUGACACCCGGUCGAUGGUGCCGCUAGAUACUGCGAUGGGUAUUUGGUUCUCAAGUCUAUAAGUAUUGCGCUGGCACUUGAUGUCGAUUGGGUGUAAAAACCCAGUUAAAGUCCGCUGAAGGUUAGUAGCGGCAACUGAUGUCCAGUUUGUAAGACAGAAAAGCCUCUGACAAUACCAUUGGGCGUGACUCGAAUGGAUGUCAAUUUGAUGAUAUCUGACCGUAGCAUGCUACCCUUAGCAGUCGUACUCAAACCAUCUUCGUGGGUGGCUGUUACCCCCUCAUGUCAAAGUAAGGAAAUUCGAUGAAGCGGGGGUAAACGGCGGGACUUAAUUAAGUCUCUUGAGGUAGCCAAAUGCCUCGUCAUCUAAUUAAUGACGCACAUGAAUGAAGGAAAGUGAUUCCCACUGUCCCUACCUACUAUCUAGGGAAACCACAGCCCAGGGAACGGGCUUGACGGAAUCAGCGGGGAAAGAAAGACUGGGGCGGUUCACCUGUCAAACGGUCAGAAACUUCCCGUGGAGCAGAAGGGAAAAAGCUCGCUUGAUCUUGAUUUUCAGUAUGAAUACAGACCGUGAAGCAGGGCCUCACAAUCCUUCUGAAUUUUUGGCUUUUAAGCAGGAGGUGUUAGAAAAAUUACCAUAACGAUAACUGGCUUGUAGCGGCCAAGCGUUCAUAGCGACGUCGCUUUUUGAUCCUUCGCUGUCCGUUCUUCCUAUCACUGUGAAGCAGAAUUCACCAAGCGUUGGAUUGUUCACCCACUAAUAGGGAACGUGAGCUGGGUUUAGACCGUCGUGAGACCGGUUAGUUUUACCCUAUUGAUGAUUUGUUGUUGCAAUAGUAAUCCUGCUCAGUACGAGAGGAUAAGCAGGUUCAGACAUUUGGUGUAUUUGCUUGGUUGAGGAGCCAAUGGUGUGAAGCUAUCAUCUGUGGGAUUAUGACUGAACGCCUCUAAGUCAGAAUCCCCCUAAACAUAACGAUACCGUAGCGCUGCAGAUCUUCUGUUGGCCCAGGAUAGCCUGCAUCUUUUGGCAGGUGAGUAGAGCCGUUCGUGACAGGGUUGGGGUGCGGCCAGAUGGGUUGCCGCCCCUCUCCUGAUGCGCACCGUAUGUUUGUGGGGAACCUUGUGCUAAAUCACUCGUAGACGACCUGAUUCUGGGUCAUGGUUUCGUACGUAGCAGAGCAGCUCACUCGCUGCGAUCUAUUGAAAGUCAGCCCUCGAUCCAAGCUUUUGUCGGGGACGGAAGGCGUCUUCCUCCACCAUCCUCCUCCUUUACUUACGGGUUACCAGGUGCACGGAGAAGGACCAGAGGCCAGAGGCCAGACACAGAAUGUGAGGGAGCCCAGGCAGGCAGGUAGAAGGCAAGGGUAGAAGGUAAGACAUUGACAUUGGGCUCUGGAUAGGUAUGGGGCUAGAUGGUGGUUGUCCAUCUGCCCGGGCCCAUCCUUCGGGUUACCAGGUGCACAGAGCCUGUUUCGGGUUACCAGGUGCACAUCGUUCGUGACAGCAGGACUAUAGACAUCUUAGCAAUUCCAGGGAGUAAGCUAAAUUCUAAAGCCAAGGUAGAGGGGUGUUGAGGGGGUAGGGAGAGUAGGUGUGGAGGUCUGUAGUUCCAGGGAGUAAGCUAUACACUCUCUGGCCCAGGGAGAGGGCAGGCAGGCGAGCAGGGAGUGUAGGGCUUGAGGCAAUGUGCAAUGUGUAGGCCCACUGAGUGUACAUUCUGAACAUUGUUUGAAGUCAGUAGGUCACAUGACCAAGGAGCUAUUGAAAUUCUAAAGUUUACAAAAUUAAUGUAAAAUCGUGUGAGAUGGAUAUGGACAAACUAAAGGGUGUGCAAUAUACAAGGGUAGUCAGUGGACAUUCUGAACCUUGUUUGAAGUCAGUAGGUCACAUGACCAAGGAGCUAUUGAAUUUCAAACAUUUAAAUAAACAAUUUAAAAUGGAGUGAGAUGUAAACCGACCAACGAAAGUGUGUGCAAUGUGUGUCUAUGCCAUUUGGUUAGCUAGAACUAGUUUUGAAAGUUUUAGGAGUAAUGGUUAAAGAGCUAUUGAAAUUGGAAAAAUAUGAUUUGUCACUAUGUUGACGGUCCCUAACUGCUGUUGGUGGACGUAAGGAAAACUACAGGCGAAUAUCUGUGGAAAAUCCAACCUGAAACUGGCUUUACCUCGGUUAAAUUAACCUACUCUUGGUGCGCUAGCACACACUUUUCUUCCGUGAUACAUUUGAUUUUUGCACUAUUUGUAUUAGUUAGUUAGUCAGUCAGUCAAACAUGUGUCUCUGCACACUCUCUCUGACAAAUGCAGUUGAAAAGGAGAGCUGUGAAAUCUCCUCACCAGAGUUCUGUUAGGCUGUAAUGCACUUCACUUUAUUGCUGAGUGACAACUGUAAUAGCUAGCUAGUGAUAUUAUUGUCAUACCAGUGGCAUUACUGUAAACUGUUAUAGUUUUUACAAUAUAUGUUGCCAUGCCAAGGCGUUUUGCUUUUUUUUCACAGACCAGCAUGGUGUUGGUGGGCUUUUACACAAGAUGGAAAAAGACUGCUCCCUGACUUUUGAGGCCCAUGCGCUGGGGAAGGCUGGUGUUCAGGGACACCGUGCUACUGUAGUUCAUGCUGGGAGGGCUGCAGAAACAACCUGGACAGUAGCAUAGUGCGUGUGAGGGGCGUGGUGGUGGUGGAGUGUGUCCUGUCCUGCAUGCACAUCAAUGUAGUCAAGCUCAAAUUUGGGGUACAGUAUGGAGCUGACCCAGACUCAAAGCUGGAUAGAACUGCCUCAAUUCAUCACAGCAUGGACUCUACAAGGUGUCGAAAGCGUUCCACAGGGCCCAUGUAGACUCUAAUGCUUCCCACGGUUGUGUCAAGUUGGUUAGAUGUCCUUUGGGUGGUGGACCAUUUUUGAUACACACAGAAAAUAGUUGUGUGAAAAACCCAACAGUGUUGCAGUUCUUGACACAAACCGGUACGCGUGGCACCUACUACUAUACCUCGGUCAAAGGCUCUUCAACCUGUGUCCUCCCCUUCAUCUAUACUGAUUGAAGUGGAUUUAACAAGUUACAUCCAUAAGGGAUCAUAGCUGGAUUCACCUGGUCAGUCUCUCAUGUAAAGAGCAGGUGUACCUAACGUUUUGUACACUAAGUGUACAUCCUGUACCAUGCACAAUUUUGACAAGGUGGAAGAUACAUACUGAAUUUAUACUGUUUUUGAUACUAAGAUGGACCAAGAUAUGUGUUUCUUUUUCACAUACUUGUUCAUUGGUUUUUGCAAGAGUUCCUUGGAUUUCCAAUAUGUUGAUGCCAUUGAUUAAAAGAGAAAGAAUAGGAUGCAAUGUCCAACCCAAAAUAUAAGCUUGUUUUACUCCAUUGUUUAUAAAUAUAAUUGUUCAAAUAAAUUCUGUUGGUUGCAUAAAUAAUGAUGAUUACUAAAAGUUACAUGAACUGUAAAUAUGAACCAUCAAAACCAAAUGGAAACCCCUUUUGUUAAUAUGUAUUGGCAAUAAUAAUGGUGAGGCAUGGAGUAAUUAAACAUGUAUCUUUUGGAUGUUUGAAAUAUGAGUAGGAUGUUUGAAAUAUGAGUAGGAUGUUUGAAAUACAGCAUGAGUAGGUGAUUUGAGUCAUGCUUCUUCAGUAGUGGAAUAAAGACAUUUAGCACUUGAAUGUUGUCAAUAAAUACUCUGUAAGUACUGCAGUGCUGUAUGAUUGUUAAUAAAAUUGUUCGUAGACCAA